rnacentral:rRNA from 1 species
UACGUAGGGUGCAAGCGUUGUCCGGAAUUAUUGGGCGUAAAGAGCUCGUAGGCGGUCUGUCGCGUCUGCUGUGAAAACUCAGGGCUUAACCCUGAGCUUGCAGUGGGUACGGGCAGACUAGAGUGCGGUAGGGGAGACUGGAAUUCCUGGUGAUAGCGGUGAAAUGCGCAGAUAUCAGGAGGAACACCGGUGGCGAAGGCGGGUCUCUGGGCCGUAACUGACGCUGGAGGAGCGGAAAGCAUUGGGGAGCGAACAGG